AAGAUGAUGUUAAAAAAGGAAUUUGUGUGAAGUGUGAUUGAUUGAAAGAUUUGUAUAUAUUAUAUCUGCUUACGUUAAUUUUAUUUACACAAUUUCAUCACAAUGACAAGAGAUGUAUGUUAUUAAAAUGAUAUUAAUGUUUACUGUUUAUUGUAACUAUGUGUACAAAUGAGCGCAAUGUGGUAUGAUUAAAAAAAACUUAAGAAUAAAUUGAAUGUCAUUAAAAAACGAAUAACGCAAGUAUGCCAAAAUUAAUGCAUUGAUAUAUACCCGGUAUUUAUAAGGGGAAAUUGAGUAUAAAGCUACUUUUGCUUCGUAAUAUAAAAAUAUACAGCGUCAAAACUAUAUCAAUUUACAUCUCAUCGAAAAUUUUCAUGGUUAUGUUGUCAAUAAUUUCUUAGGUACAUGCUUACAUCCUUGGAAUUAUUGUUUUUUAAAAAGGAGAGUUAGAGGAGAGAAAAUUGUGAAGUGGUACACAUGUAACAGAAAUUCUUAGUUUUGAUGUAUUUCAGAUUUUAUAAAUAGAUAUAAGAAGAUGUGGUAUUAGCGCCAAUGAGACAACUCUCCAUCAAGUCAUAAUUUGUAAAAGUAAACCAUUAUAGGUCAAAAUACGGUCUGUUUAGAUUAUAUUACUAAUUAUUUUAAGAUAUAAGCAACAAAUUUGACCAACUGUUUUUUUGCUAUAUGUCUAAUCGAAAUAACUGCAUCACAAUAAUAAUUAAAAAAAAAA
rnacentral:lncRNA from 1 species